UACGGGGGGGGCAAGCGUUGUUCGGAAUUACUGGGCGUAAAGGGCUCGUAGGCGGCCAACUAAGUCAGACGUGAAAUCCCUCGGCUUAACCGGGGAACUGCGUCUGAUACUGGAUGGCUAGAGAUUGGGAGAGGGAUGCGGAAUUCCAGGUGUAGCGGUGAAAUGCGUAGAUAUCUGGAGGAACACCGGUGGCGAAGGCGGCAUCCUGGACCGACACUGACACUGAGGAGCGAAAGCCAGGGGAGCAAACGGG
rnacentral:rRNA from 1 species